GUGUGUGAGUGUUAGUGUGAGUGUUAGUGUGUGUGAGUGUUAGAGUGAGUGAGUGUUAGUGUGAGUGUUAGAGUGAGUGUUAGUGUGUGUCUGCUAGUGAGUGUCAGUGAGUGUGUUACUGUGUGUGUCUUACUGAGUGUGUGUGUGUUAGUGAGUCUGUUUGAUGUCUGUUAGUGAGUGUGUGUUUGUCAAUGAAAGUGUAUGUUUUGUAAGUGAGUGUGUAUGUAUGUCUGUCGCUGACUGUAUC